UAUGGCCAUAUCACAUUGAAACAUUGGUUCUCAUACGAUCAGUGAAGUUAAGCAAUGUUUAGUCUGGUCAGUACCUAGAUGGGUAUUUGUUUGGGAAAACUAGGUGCCGUAAU